rnacentral:lncRNA from 1 species
GUGGGUCUUGUCCCGACUUCCAUCUUUAUCAGUUAGAGGCUUCAUAGAUAGUCAGUAUAGUUGAAAGGUCUGUAUUAUUCAUUUAUUUUGUUAAAUGUUUUAAAGACUAAAGUUGCCUUUUUAUGGCGAGUUGUAUAUAUUUUAUUAUACGUAGUUUUCUUUGGACUUAAAGUUUGAAUUUAAGUUUUAUGAACUUUUAUUUCA